AUUGAACGCUGGCGGAAUGCUUUACACAUGCAAGUCGAACGGCAGCACGGGUGCAACCCUGGUGGCGAGUGGCGAACGGGUGAGUAAUACAUCGGAACGUGCGCGGUCGUGGGGGAUAACGUAGCGAAAGUUACGCUAAUACCGCAGACGAUCUGAGGAUGAAAGCGGGGGACCUUCGGGCCUCGCGCGAUCGGAUCGUCCGAUGUCAGAUUAGGUAGUUGGUGGGGUAAAGGCCUACCAAGCCGACGAUCUGUAGCUGGUCUGAGCGGACGACAAGCCACACUGGGACUGAGACACGGCCCAGACUCCUACGGGAGGCAGCAGUGGGGAAUUUUGGACAAUGGGCGCAAGCAUGAUCCAGCCAUUCCGCGUGCAGGACGAAGGCCUUCGGGUUGUAAACUGCUUUUGUAUGGAACGAAAAGGCUCUGGCUAAUACCUGGGGCUCAUGACGGUACCGUAAGAAUAAGCACCGGCUAACUACGUG
rnacentral:rRNA from 1 species